rnacentral:rRNA from 1 species
GAGCAAACCCGGGGAACUGAAACAUCUAAGUACCCGGAGGAAAGGACAUCAACCGAGACUCCGCUAGUAGUGGCGAGCGAACGCGGACCAGGCCAGUGGCUUGCAUUUAAGAACCGGAACCGUCUGGAAAGUCGGGCAUUAGUGGGUGAUAGCCCCGUACGGGUAGAAAUUAUGCAAGUCCUCGAGUAGGGCGGGACACGUGAAAUCCUGUCUGAACGUGGGGGGACCACCCUCCAAGCCUAAGUACUCCUU